AUUGAACGCUGGCGGCUGGCCUAACACAUGCAAGUCGAACGAGUGGCGGACGGGUGAGUAAUGUCUGGGAAACUGCCCGAUGGAGGGGGAUAACUACUGGAAACGGUAGCUAAUACCGCAUACCAUCGGAUGUGCCCAGAUGGGAUUAGCUAGUAGGUGGGGUAACGGCUCACCUAGGCGACGAUCCCUAGCUGGUCUGAGAGGAUGACCGGCCACACUGUAACUGAGACACGGUCCAGCCUCCUACGGGAGGAAGAGGUGGGGAAUAUUGCACAAUGGGCGAAAGCCUGAUGCAGCCAUGCCGCGUGUAUGAAGAAGGCCUUCGGGUUGUAAAGGACUUUCAGCGGGGAGGCGUUACCCGCAGAAGAAGCACCGGCUAACUCCGUGCCAGCAGCCGCGGUAAUUC
rnacentral:rRNA from 1 species